GUAUCCUGCACUAAAAAAGAUCUUAUUGUUUAACUAGUGUAAUAUUGCUAAAGAAAGCAUAAUAGUGAUAGCUUUUGAAUAAUAACAACAGGUUAGGUGGAAACUGAUGAAAAUCAUGAGAAUGUGGUAUAUGAUCAGUGGGAAGGACCAGUUGCCUAAAAGUAAGGGUUCGCAAUGGUGGCUGCUUUACAGAAGCACCAGAAAAAAAGGAAAAGGAAUGUGAGCUAGCCAAAGGAGAUGAGCAAGUUACCUGAAAUCAAAAUGAUCUCCUCCCACUCUGCUCUUCCUUGAAAUUUCCUUGAAUAGGGCAGAAAAGGAGGGAGGAGAUGGGGCUUGGGGCUAUGAUAGGAAUUGCUUGCUUUGGAAAAUAAAGCUGUUUGUACACAGAGAGGUAGCCCUGUUAAUCUGUUGCCCCAAAAGAAAAAAGGAAAGGGGAAAAAGAACACUUCGCUUUCUGUUUAAAUCAAGAUCUAUAUAUACAUCUGUCACCCCAAAUUAUCCUUAUUAAAAUGUGUCAUCUUCAAAGAGCCUAAAUAUUCUUGAGCUUCAAGUUAUUGCCUCUAAUUUCUAAUGCUAUCACAAGCGUGCUGUAUCCAAACCAAACCACAUUUUAAUCAAGUGAAUUAAUAGGAAGUCAGUCUGGGUAAUAGAGUAGCCUUCAUCUAUUUACCAUCAUUUCAUGUCUUCUGGUGCUGAAUUUAUUCUUAUUUAAUAUCUUUAGGGGGUUGAGGAAUUGUUGUUUUCGGAAGUCUGGCAUCAUUGCAAAAUAGUGUGAGGAAUCAUAUCUGCACAAUAAAAUCGAGAAUUCACUGGUAUCGAAGAAAACCCAUUGCCACCCCAAGAAACAAGGCUAGGCACUCAUGCCUCCCUAAGAAUCAACCAAUUACUGCUGCAUGUAAAACAGAAAGUGGCACCUACCACCAAAUGCUGAAAAAAUACUGGGAGUGUGCAUUAAAGAGUGUUUGUAUAUGUUCCAUCCCACCAGAUCCCUGGAUUCCAUCUGAAAUGGAGCUAAGACCUGGUAGAUUUCAGAUCUGCUCCACUCAUAGCAUGUGAAGCGAUCACUACUGAGCAGGGAAUGUCCCGAGUUCAUCUUUCAAGCCCAGAUAUUCUUUAGAUGUGUCUUAUUUAUUACCAUUUCAGCAGACUUUAUUUUUGUAGUCUGCUAAAUGUAGUUUGAAAAUUGGGUCUAAAAUAUCAGACUCAAUAAUUCAAGCUAUCAUGAAAGAUUGAGUCUUUCAGGUUAUAGGGAGCUGCAGCCGCACACAAUUAUGUUGGAGAAUUUAGCGAACUAGCUAUUUACAUCUAUUUCCAAAUAUUCAAAGACAUUUCUGGAGCAAAGCUAAGAAUAGCUGUGUGUACUUUUAAACAUCUAUGUCUCUAUUACACAGGUGCUCUUCUGUCAAACAAGCCUACUGAUUACUAGUUUUUCCACCCAAUAUCUCACGUCUAUAUUCUUUUUUUCUCUCCCCAUCAAAGGAUGUCAGUGGCUGAAUAUGCUUUACUGUCUUUGGCCCCUUCUGCAUUGCCAUAUAAUCCAGAGCAUCAAAGAAGAGUACAUUGCCAUAUAAUCCAGUUCAAAGUAGAUAAUCUGGACUUUAUUUAUCAGUGUAGAAGGGGCCUUUGGUUGUGGGUGCAAGACCAAAGAAGCAUUGCAGUAAAAUUGCUCCAUAAUCAAGGUCUUCUAACCAAGUUGGCAUCACCUCUGGAUCUAGUAUUUUGAAAACAUUGUGCUAAUGAUUUACAAUAUAAUACCUGCUCUAUACCCAUGCCUAGAUAUUUUUUUCAAUCAGAUACGUCCUAGUUACACUAAUGUCACACCUUGAAUCUUGAAUCCUCUGCUAUGAUUCUGAUGGUCUCAUUUUCAUUUUUCCCCUAGAAUAAGAGAGAUUUAAAUUCUUUUCUUUCAUCGCAAAAUGCUCCAAAAAGACUCUAUACAGUACAGUGACAGCUGUGAAGCCCUCUCCAGCUACACAAUUAAUUUUAUCUUUGUUUACCAGCACAAAUUUUAAUGCCCUUCUUGGGUGUUAGCAUUCCACAACACCAGUUGGAGCAAAGUCCUACUUCAUUUGCCUUCUAUUAGGUAAUUAUUUUGUUUGUUGUCCCUUAGCACUGUAGUACACAUAUCCGCCUUGACUGUGUGUUUUGGUUGGGCCAGUGUAGAGAUCUGAGUUUUGCCAUAGCUGUAGCUGCAGUAAUAAAGAACAAUUGUGCCCAAGUA